rnacentral:rRNA from 1 species
UACAGAGGUCUCAAGCGUUGUUCGGAUUCAUUGGGCGUAAAGGGUGCGUAGGUGGCGCGGUAAGUCGGGUGUGAAAUUUCGGAGCUUAACUCCGAAACUGCAUUCGAUACUGCCGUGCUUGAGGACUGGAGAGGAGACUGGAAUUUACGGUGUAGCAGUGAAAUGCGUAGAGAUCGUAAGGAAGACCAGUGGCGAAGGCGGGCCUCUGGACAGUUCCUGACACUGAGGCGCGAAAGCUAGGGGAGCAAACGGG